AUGAUAAAACUCUAUGAAGAGAGUAGAGUCCAUCUCCUCAGUAAGACAGAAAUGCAUUUGUCCACCCUCGAAUGCAUGGAUAAGGAACAUAAUAAGCAUUGCAUAACAUUUUACCAAGUGUUAUCUGGAAAUCCAGGAUGGAAACUUGUUGGAAGAUAACAAGAGUGAAUAGGCUGCAGCGUGGAUAUCAGAUGUGGUCCUCCACUGCCUGCAGAGGAAUCCUGACCCAGUGCCUAAAGUACCUCUCUGUCUUUCUUCUCUGACCUUGGUUUCUGCAGAAUUGUUGCGGGAGAAGAAGUUAGAAGAGUCAUGAUGAGAGAGUGAAGUCGAGCCUAGGAAAAAGAGAGCAAGCUGACUUCAUUAAAAGGAAGAAUUCAGAACUAUUGUUCCUGCAGGAGCAACGAGAGGAACAAUAUGUCAAAAAGUAAGUCCAGCAGACCAUGCAGAAGUUUGGGACCUGGAAAAUGUAGCGUAUGAGAGGCAAAGACAAUCGUGUGGUCUAGGCAGAAGAACAGAAGUCAAAGGCAAAUUUUAUUUGCAGUUUUUCAGUUUUUAAAUGGGAUACACAGCAAAGCCAGAAUGAGAACACUCCUAGAAAUGCACAGAGGAAAGGCAAAAGGCUAUAGUCAGAGCUUCAAGAAUGAGAAAAGAAGUUUCUCCAUAAAAAUGGUUAGACACAGGAGCAGGUUGUACAGACAGACUGCACUAUCCCAGUCCUUAGAGAUAAGUCACAACUCAGAUAGACAAAACCCUCAGCAGCUCAAUUUAACUUAGAAGUUUGUAAUCUCCCUGGGGUCCUUUUCAGGAGGCCAGAAUUGAUGACUUCAGGGUAUGAAGGGAUACCCCCCUUUUUUUUUAAUUUAUUGUUUGUUUGUUUUUGUGAUUCUAUUACCCAAAUGCAUUCUAUACAAACAGUAAUUCCUGUCACUGUCAGUGAACACUCAUACCAUGUAAAUAUACUAUUCUCCUCUAUCAUGCUAUUAGUAUAGCACUGAUGUUGUCAAAGAUGAGGUAAAGAGGAUUUAUCUGCAAGGAUUUAAUUUUCAUUGCUUUUCAUUAAAUUCAGUGUAUUUUCUCAUUCUCUGUAGUUAUGAAAAUGUACCCUGGAAUUACCUGGUAUGAUAACUCAAAAUGCCCUGUUCUAAACAUAUGUCACUAAACACUUCAGUUGUGAUACAGUAUUUCUUGGAAAGGAGACAUAUAAGUUCACCAUUUAAACUGACUAACUUCUCUAUACUACAGUCCUUGUACUUUAUGUUGAUGUGCCAUUUAUGUAAGAGAUAAACAAGUUCUGACUAUUUAGAUCAAUUAAGUCUCCAGUAACUUCCUGUUUGGCUCACAAGUAGAUCCAGAAGCCUAACUUUAGAAGACUUGCCACUUUUGUCUUUAAAUUCAAUCAAGGUCUUUACUGAAAAUAAUGUGCAUAAAAAGCACAGACAUGCAGAACUAGUGAAGUGUCAAAGUCUCUGGAACAAUAAUGUGAUUAAAGUUUUUGCUGAAUUAAGCUAACAUCCUAAUCCUUACACCUUAGCUAAGACUCUAGAUCUGUAAAUCUCAGUUCUAACAGUUUAAAAUGCCAUUUCCACUACUCACACAAGUAAACCAAAGCAGGAAGGAAAGUGAUUCUGCACUUCAUGCAAAAUUCUUAGAUCUUGUUGAUGCUAGCAAUCACUGCAGUGGAACAGUUAAUUAAUGGCAUAUAUUACUAAGUGUAUUCACAGACUGAUGCUAUAAAAAUUAUUUCUGGUUAAAACAGUACAUACUACAAAAUAUUUAUCAUAUUCAGCAAUCUAUUUUAACACCAGUAUUUCAGAUAUUAGGCCCCUAAAACCAUGGUUAUAUUUUGAAGAGCCUGAAAUUAUGCAAACUUAAAUUUACUAAAUAAGAGUAACUAGUUAACCUGGGUUUUUCCACUACAAUUGUCUCAAAUAAGAGAAUUGCCAUAGUUUGUUCUUACUAUAUAAGGACCGCAUAUCUUGUCUUUAUUAAUAAUAGUAAUG
rnacentral:lncRNA from 7 species